UCAAGCAAGAAAGAGCACAAGGAGAAUGCCUUGGCACUAGGAGCCGAUGAAAGACGUGGUAAGCUGCGAAAAGCUUCGGGGAGGCGCAAACAGCCAUCGAUCCGGAGAUAUCUGAAUGGGGAAACCUACUUGAGCAAACCUCAAGUAUCCAUACGUGAAUCCAUAGCGUAUGGAAGGGAACGCUGUGAACUGAAACAUCUAAGUAGCAGUAGGAGGAGAAAGAAAACUCGAUUUCCUAAGUAGCGGCGAGCGAACGGGAAAGAGGCCAAACCGAAGGACCUGGUUCUUCGGGGUUGCGGACUGCAAUUAGCAUUGCUGAGAGAUAGACGAAUGGUUUUGGGAAAGCCAGCCGUAGACGGUGAAAGCCCGGUAGACGAAAUCUUGAAGCAGCGAGCAGGAUCCAGAGUACCACGAGACACGAGAAACCUUGUGGGAAGCCGGGGGGACCACCCCCCAAGCCUAAAUACUCCCUAGUGACCGAUAGUGAAGCAGUACUGUGAAGGAAAGGUGAAAAGGACCCCGGGAGGGGAGUGAAAGAGAACCUGAAACCUUGUGCUUACAAACAGUCAAAGGCCUACGGGCUGAUGGCGUACUUUUUGUAGAACGGUCCGGCGAGUUACUAAUGCCAGCGAGGUUAAGAUGUCAGAAGCAUCGGAGCCGAAGGGAAACCAAGUCUGAAUAGGGCGUAGAGUUGGUAUUAGUAGACCCGAAACCGGGUGACCUAUCCAUGUCCAGGUUGAAGGAACCGUAAAAGGUUUUGGAGGACCGAACACACAUGUGUUGAAAAACGUGGUGAUGAGGUGUGGAUAGCGGAGAAAUUCCAAUCGAACUCGGAGAUAGCUGGUUCUCCUCGAAAUAGCUUUAGGGCUAGCCUCGAGCUGGAGUCUAACGGAGGUAAAGCACUGAACUGACGCGGGGCCCAAAAAGGUUACCAACUCAUAUCAAACUAAGAAUGCCGUCAAGAUACCCUCGGGAGUCAGUCUGCGUGAGAUAAGUCGCGUGGACAAAAGGGAAAGAGCCCAGACCGACAGCUAAGGUCCCAAAGUACGUGUUAAGUGGAAAAGGAUGUGGGAUUUCAGAGACAACUAGGAUGUUGGCUUAGAAGCAGCCAUACAUUUAAAGAGUGCGUAAUAGCUCACUAGUCGAGAAAACCUGCGCCGAAAAUGUAACGGGGCUAAAACACGACACCGAAGCUACGGAUUCCUUACAAAGUAAGGAGUGGUAGAGGAGCAUCCUGCAAGGACGAAGCCAAAGUGAGAGCGAUGGUGGACGAAACAGGAGAGAGAAUGCCGGAAUGAGUAGCGAGAUACAUGUGAGAAACAUGUAGGCCGAAUAUCUAAGGAUUCCUGGGUAAAGCUAAUCUUCCCAGGGUUAGUCGGGGCCUAAGGCGAGGACGAAAGUCGUAGUCGAUGGAUAACAGGUUGAUAUUCCUGUACUACACAUAAUCAGAACUGUGGGGACGCAGGAGGAUAGGGAAACCGGGGAAUGGAAAGACCCGGUCAAGCGUAAAGCUGUGGGAGAUAGGCAAAUCCGUCUCUUGUAAGUGAAACGUGAUGAGGACUGAAAAAAAGUAAGGAAGUUUCCGAAUCCACACUGCCGAGAAAAGCCGCUAUUGCGUUAUGUGUACCCGUACCGUAAACCGACACAGGUAGAUGAGGAGAAAAUCCACAGGCCGACGGGAGAAGUGUUGUUAAGGAACUCGGCAAAAUGACCCCGUAACUUCGGGAUAAGGGGAGCCUCGCAAGAGGCCGCAGAAAAGAGGCACAAGCAACUGUUUAGCAAAAACAUAGGUCUAUGCGAAACCGUAAGGUGAAGUAUAUGGGCUGACGCCUGCCCGGUGCUGGAAGGUUAAAAGGAGAGGUCAGCGCAAGCGAAGCUUUGAAUUCAAGCCCCAGUAAACGGCGGCCGUAACUAUAACGGUCCUAAGGUAGCGAAAUUCCUUGUCAGGUAAGUUCUGACCCGC
rnacentral:rRNA from 1 species